rnacentral:rRNA from 1 species
CUACGUGCCAGCAGCCGCGGUAAUACGGAAGGUCCGGGCGUUAUCCGGAUUUAUUGGGUUUAAAGGGAGCGUAGGCUGGAGAUUAAGUGUGUUGUGAAAUGUAGACGCUCAACGUCUGACUUGCAGCGCAUACUGGUUUCCUUGAGUACGCACAACGUUGGCGGAAUUCGUCGUGUAGCGGUGAAAUGCUUAGAUAUGACGAAGAACUCCGAUUGCGAAGGCAGCUGACGGGAGCGCAACUGACGCUGAAGCUCGAAGGUGCGGGUAUCGAACAGGAUUAGAUACCCUGGUAGUCCGCACAGUAAACGAUGGAUGCCCGCUGUUGGUACCUGGUAUCAGCGGCUAAGCGAAAGCAUUAAGCAUCCCACCUGGGGAGUACGCCGGCAACGGUGAAACUCAAAGGAAUUGACGGGGGCCCGCACAAGCGGAGGAACAUGUGGUUUAAUUCGAUGAUACGCGAGGAACCUUACCCGGGCUUGAAUUGCAGUCGCUGCCCACAGAGACGUGGGCUUCCYUCGG